UUUAAAUGCAACCAUAAAUUUUUCACCCAAUAUUAGUUUUUUUGAAUUUUUUUUAUAAUUAGUAUUUUUUGUUGUUAUGAAAUAAUAAAACAUGAAUAGUACUUUACUGACUUAUGUUUUUAAAUUUUUCAAAAAAAAUUAAAUAAGAUGGACGAUAAAAGUUAGGUGCGAAAAAUUAUGGCCUACACCGGGA
rnacentral:pre_miRNA from 1 species